rnacentral:rRNA from 1 species
UACAGAGGGGGCGAGCGUUAUUCGGAAUUAUUGGGCGUAAAGGGCGCGUAGGCGGCUUUUCAAGUGACGGGUGAAAUCCCUCGGCUUAACCGAGGAACUGCCUGUCAGACUGGAAGGCUUGAGACCGGGAGAGGUGAGUGGAAUUCCCAGUGUAGCGGUGAAAUGCGUAGAUAUUGGGAGGAACACCAGUGGCGAAGGCGGCUCACUGGACCGGAACUGACGCUGAGGCGCGAAGCGUGGGGAGCAAACAGG